rnacentral:rRNA from 1 species
GUAUCCUACGGGAGGCAGCAGUAGGGAAUCUUCGGCAAUGGGGGCAACCCUGACCGAGCAACGCCGCGUGAGUGAAGAAGGCCUUUGGGUUGUAAAACUCUGUCCUUAUCGAAGAGAGGUGGGUAUGUGAAUAAUGUACUCAUAGGACGGUAGAUAAGGAGGAAGCCCCGGCUAACUACGUGCCAGCAGCCGCGGUAAUACGUAGGGGCGAGCGUUGUCCGGAAUCACUGGGCGUAAAGGGCGCGUAGGCGGUUUAAUAAGUCAGUGGUGAAAACUGAGGGCUCAACCCUCAGCCUGCCACUGAU